rnacentral:rRNA from 1 species
CUGGCGGCGUGUCAACACAUGCAAGUCAAGCGAGAAAAGGGGGGCAACUCCCUGAGUACAGCGGCUCUCGCGUGAGUAACACGUGGGUAAUCUGCCCUGGAGUGGGGAAUAACACCGGGAAACCGGUGCUAAUACCGCAUACGAUAGCGAGGUCUGCGGACUUUGUUAUGAAAGGAGCAAUUCGCUCUAGGAGGAGCCCGCGGCUGAUUAGCUAGUUGGUGAGGUAAUGGCUCACCAAGGCUACGAUCAGUAUCCGGUCUGAGAGGACGGUCGGACACACUGGAACUGAGACACGGUCCAGACUCCUACGGGAGGCAGCAGUGGG